ACCGGUUCGGAAGCAUUUCGCUCUUUCCCUCUCAGUUGCAACGUGAAGUGUAGGAUGGAUCCUCGAUGUCCCAUUGAAAUAGAUGUUCAGAUUUGUACAAUGCCAGCAAAAUGGGGCCUAGUUCGCCCUCCAUCCAGAAGCAUAAACCGGUCCAAAGACAGAUCUAAAGAGUAACUAAUUGGAGGCAUGUUGGAGUCAGUGCCUUGAUGAAGAAACUGAAGAUGACUUUCCUUGACCAUGGGUUUCACUGGAGAAGAGCAAAUUUGUUACGGGUGAGACUGAAGGAUGUUGCUGUUUAGUAGCAGACUGAAGACCUCAGAGCUGGCAGCAUAAAGAUCAACAUGUCUGGUGUGAAACGGGAGACUGGCGACCUCAGAGUUGGCUGGACAAAGAUCUAAUCCUCGAGGGACGUUGUGUCUCGGAUGGUGCAGAGAUCAGAGUUGUGACUGAACAGCACCUCACUGGGUGUGAGAUCUGUUUGACUCCGAAACCCUGAAAGUGACUCUUAAUCCUACUGAUGACUGACGGUGAUCCAUUUAUUUCAAUGGAGCCCCAAACGCAUCGUGCAGAUGUCGUCACUGUUUAGAAAACUGCUGCUCCCAGAACUUGGCAGAAGAAAAGUGAAUGAGGCCACGUGAUGAGAAGAAGAUUCUCAGUUAAUCUUUUUAAUCGAGAGUCUGCUCUACUCCUCAGUACUCUGUUCCAUCCUCUUUACUCAUCUCAUUAUCUACUUUGUUAUUGUGUGCUGUGCAGGCCGGCCGCCUCUUCUACCCACAGACGGGGCUAAACAACAUACAGAGUUUGUGCUGCUGUUUAAGAGUAAAAUUCAAGGACUUCAAAGGUUCCUAAACCAAAGAUUUCCAGACUGUCAAAACAUUUGUCAUCACAUCUAAAUUGUUACUAUAAAUGGAAUUGUAAAAAAUAAAGUUUACAGAAUUUUA